CAUCAGCCCCCCUGUCCACCUGCCCCGAAGCCCGGUGUGCAUGGAGUUCCAGUACCAGGCCACAGGCGGCCGCGGGGUGGCGCUGCAGGUGGUGCGGGAAGCCAGCCAGGAGAGCAAGCUGCUGUGGGUCAUCCGCGAGGACCAGGGCGGCGAGUGGAAGCACGGGCGGAUCAUCCUGCCCAGCUACGACAUGGAGUACCAGAUUGUGUUCGAGGGAGUGAUAGGGAAAGGACGUUCAGGAGAGAUUGCCAUUGAUGACAUUCGGAUAAGCACUGAUGUCCCACUGGAGAACUGCAUGGAACCCAUCUCAGCUUUUGCAGUUCCAGGGUACCAAGGCAGCGGUUUCAGUUAACCACAGAGCCGAGGGGCUUCUGUGUACAGCCUGCAGUCAGUACCUGCAGUCACCAUACCUCAGUGAGGUACGGUGGCAGGCCGCUUGUGAGGGAAGGAAGUUAGGAAAGAGACACAGAAGUGGUGCCUCAGGAGAAAGAGUUACCAGAUUUAGGACCUGGUGUCCAGUCAAGGGAAUAAGGAGGUGCAUUCGAUGACUGAAUGCACUUUAAAUGCAGGACUGAAAAUCAGAAAGGACGUGUUCUCCCCCAAGAAAGCAGAGAGAGCAGAGCAAAGUGAGAAGAAUUGGGGAUGCUUGCCUCAACCAGGUUAAAAAAAAAAAAGGCCUCCAGCCUUGGGUGAUGGCAAUGUUGUUUGUGCUGUUACAGUGCAGCAGAUUUUACAUUUUGCCCCCUUUGCAAACCUAUUAGCUGACACUGCUGAAGUUCCCACACUGGUUUCUAAUGCCAAACAUUUAGGAACCACUCUAAACGCAUCACUGCAGUUGGCCUGAGUGUAAAAGCGCACACAAAAACACCCUCAUCGAAUGAUGGGGGUUCUUCAUGACCUGUUUGAUGCCAGCAAUUGUGAGGAUUGCUGUGCCCUCUUUGUACUGGCUGGGUGGGAGCAUUGCAGAGAUAAGGGCAGCCAUUUUUAUAUCUGCCGUCUAGACUCGUUGUCUUCACUCUCAUUAAUCUGUCCAGCUCUGGGCUAGAAAGAGAUGAAUUCCUGGUUUGCCACCUAGAUGUGCUCCCUGACUCCAAAUCAUCUCACCCAAUUUGCCACUCAUCAGCUCUAAGACAGCCAGUGAGGAACAAAGCUGCAGACAACAGGGGAAUGACAGACCGACAUAGAAUAUAUUGCCUUUCUUACCCUUCUUCGCGUCCCUGAACCCCGUGCCCACUCCCUGUCCCACAGUUCUAAAAGUAUUAAGAGUAUUCAUGUGCAUACACUGGUGCUCUCUGGGGGUGAGGUUUAUGUUAAUGUAAAUCCAAAGUAUUGGAAGGAAAGCUGAGAGCCAAACUGAACGACUUGGAUUACAGUCGAAUUCGAGUUCUAACCUUCAGGACCCAAGGUAAUGCUUAUGUUGGUGAAGUGAAACCUGUGGAUGUUGUUUCACCUGACUCUCUUUGGGUUGUGGAGACUCACAUCUCCCAGAAAGGCUGGGUAAAGACGUGCCAGCAGCUGCUGCAGACACUGUUCUGUGUGCACACCGUGUC
rnacentral:sRNA from 1 species